AGAGUUUGAUCCUGGCUCAGGAUGAACGCUAGCGGCAGGCUUAACACAUGCAAGUCGAGGGGCAGCACGGGUAGCAAUACCUGGUGGCGACCGGCGGAAGGGUGCGUAACGCGUGAGCAACAUGCCCUAUACAGGGGAAUAAACCAGGGAAACUUGGUCUAAUGCCCCAUAGCAAUAAGAUAAGGCAUCUUAUUUUAUUUAAAGCUUCGGUGGUAUAGGAUUGGCUCGCGUGACAUUAGCUGGAUGGUGGGGUAACGGCCCACCAUGGCGAUGAUGUCUAGGGGUUCUGAGAGGAAGACCCCCCACACUGGGACUGAGACACGGCCCAGACUCCUACGGGAGGCAGCAGUGAGGAAUAUUGGACAAUGGAUGGAAAUCUGAUCCAGCCAUGCCGCGUGCAGGAAGACGGCCCUAUGGGUUGUAAACUGCUUUUAUACGGGAGCAAUAAGGUCUACGUGUAGACUGAUGAGAGUACCGUAUGAAUAAGCAUCGGCUAACUCCGUGCCAGCAGCCGCGGUAAUACGGAGGAUGCGAGCGUUAUCCGGAUUUAUUGGGUUUAAAGGGUGCGUAGGCGGCCUUGUAAGUCAGCGGUGAAAUUUUGCAGCUUAACUGUAAAAGUGCCGUUGAUACUGUGAGGCUAGGAUUUGGUUGCUGUGGGUGGAAUGUGUGGUGUAGCGGUGAAAUGCUUAGAGAUCACACAGAAUAUCGAUUGCGAAGGCAGCUCACAAAGCCAAGAUUGACGCUGAGGCACGAAAGUGUGGGGAUCAAACAGGAUUAGAUACCCUGGUAGUCCACACUGUAAACGAUGAUAACUCGCUGUCGGCGAUACACAGUCGGUGGCCAAGCGAAAGCGAUAAGUUAUCCACCUGGGGAGUACGACCGCAAGGUUGAAACUCAAAGGAAUUGACGGGGGCCCGCACAAGCGGAGGAACAUGUGGUUUAAUUCGAUGAUACGCG
rnacentral:rRNA from 1 species